rnacentral:rRNA from 1 species
GAUGAACGCUGGCGGCGUGCCUAAUACAUGCAAGUCGAGCGAACGGACGAGAAGCUUGCUUCUCUGAUGUUAGCGGCGGACGGGUGAGUAACACGUGGAUAACCUACCUAUAAGACUGGGAUAACUUCGGGAAACCGGAGCUAAUACCGGAUAAUAUUUUGAACCGCAUGGUUCAAAAGUGAAAGACGGUCUUGCUGUCACUUAUAGAUGGAUCCGCGCUGCAUUAGCUAGUUGGUAAGGUAACGGCUUACCAAGGCAACGAUGCAUAGCCGACCUGAGAGGGUGAUCGGCCACACUGGAACUGAGACACGGUCCAGACUCCUACGGGAGGCAGCAGUAGGGAAUAUUCCGCAAUGGGCGAAAGCCUGACGGAGCAACGCCGCGUGAGUGAUGAAGGUCUUCGGAUCGUAAAACUCUGUUAGUAGGGAAGAACAUAUGUGUAAGUAACUGUGCACAUCUUGACGGUACCUAAUCAGAAAGCCACGGCUAACUACGUG